GGUUGCUUCGUCCAGUGGUAGGAUACCUCUUUCGGGCAAAACAUAACCCGGUAUGUUACAUACCAGAUCGAGGCUCUAGGUUCGAAUUCUAGAGGUGGUCGCGGGUUCGAAUCCCGCAGUGACCC